rnacentral:rRNA from 1 species
CGGGGUGAGUAAUGUCUGGGAAACUGCCUGAUGGAGGGGGGUAACUACUGGAAACGGUAGCUAAUACCGCAUAACGUCGCAAGACCAAAGAGGGGGACCUUCAGGCCUCUUGCCAUCGGAUGUGCCCAGAUGGGAUUAGCUAGUAGGUGGGGUAACGGCUCACCUAGGCGACGAUCCCUAGCUGGUCUGAGAGGAUGACCAGCCACACUGGAACUGAGACACGGUCCAG